rnacentral:rRNA from 2 species
GAACAGGGAUUAGAUACCCUGGUAGUCCACGCCGUAAACGAUGGGCACUAGGGUGUGAGCAACAUUACACGUUGUCCGUGCCGCAGCUAACGCAUUAAGUGCCCCGCCUGGGGAGUACGGCAGCAAGGAUAAAACUCAAAAGAAUUAACGGGGGCCCGCACAAACGGCGGAUCAUGUGGCUUAAUUGGACGCAAGGCGAAGAACCUUAACAAGGCUUGACAUACACCGGAAAACCCUGGAGACAGGGUCACCCUUGUGGUCGGUGUACAGGUGGUGCAUGGCUGUAGUCAGCUCGUGUCGUGGGAUGUUGGGUUAAGUCCCGCAAAGAGCGCAAACCUUGUCCCGUGUUGCCAGCAGGCCCUUGUGGUGCUGGGGACUCACGGGAGACCGCCGGGGUCAACUCGGAGGAAGGUGGGGACGACGUCAAGUCAUCAUGCCCCUUAAGUCUUGGGCUGCACACGUGAUACAAUGGGCGGUACAAUGAGCUGCGAUCCGCGAGGUGGAGCGAAUCUAAAAAAGCCGGUCGUCAGUUCGGAAUUGGGGUCGUGCCACUCGACCCCCUGAAAGUCGAGGAGUGGGCAGUUAAGAUAAAAGU